rnacentral:rRNA from 1 species
UACGUAGGGUGCGAGCGUUAAUCGGAAUUACUGGGCGUAAAGCGUGCGCAGGCGGUUCGUUGUGUCGGCGGUGAAAGCCCCGGGCUCAACCUGGGAAUGGCCGUUGAAACUGGCGAACUGGAGUGUGGCAGAGGGGGGUGGAAUUCCGCGUGUAGCAGUGAAAUGCGUAGAGAUGCGGAGGAACACCGGUGGCGAAGGCGGGUCUCUGGGCCGAUACUGACGCUGAGGAGCGAAAGCGUGGGGAGCGAACAGG